GACGAACGCUGGCGGCGUGCUUAACACAUGCAAGUCGAACGGAAAGGCCCUGCUUUUGUGGGGUGCUCGAGUGGCGAACGGGUGAGUAACACGUGAGUAACCUGCCCUUGACUUUGGGAUAACUUCAGGAAACUGGGGCUAAUACCGGAUAGGAGCUCCUGCUGCAUGGUGGGGGUUGGAAAGUUUCGGCUGUUGGGGAUGGACUCGCGGCUUAUCAGCUUGUUGGUGGGGUAGUGGCUUACCAAGGCUUUGACGGGUAGCCGGCCUGAGAGGGUGACCGGCCACAUUGGGCCUGAGAUACGGACCAGACUCCUACGGGAGGCAGCAGUGGGGAAUAUUGCACAAUGGGCGGAAGCCUGACGCAGCAACGCCGCGUGCGGGAUGACGGCCUUCGGGUUGUAAACCGCUUUCGCCUGUGACGAAGCGUGAGUGACGGUAAUGGGUAAAGAAGCACCGGCUAACUACGUG
rnacentral:rRNA from 1 species